rnacentral:lncRNA from 1 species
GCAAAAUUUAUUAAUGAGUGAAUUAGGUACAAGGUGUGCUAAAUUCACUACACAACAAAACUGUUCACAAAGGAAUACCAAUAGUACAUAUACAUUAGGUCUUCAAUUCAACUAUGAGCUAAUACACAUUCGGGAUAAACCUAAUAAUCCAUUCGGCUAAACUCAGCACAGCAGAGGCCAGAGGGUAAAAAAAUCAGCAAAUGCUCCGGAAAAAAAUUACGCCUUGGGAUCUCGCGUCACAACACUGGCUAAACCUUGGGAUUGUAGAAACAGAACUACUUCCUUCCCAAGACAACAGGACAAAGACAUUAUGAGAUGCUAUCAAAAUAGAAUGUUUCUAAAGAGCAUUUGCACGAUGCAAAACCUCUUGUGACCUACCUGCAAAACCAUAACAAGGUUAGCCAAUGCAGAGCCAAUACUCAGAUUACAGCAGCAGAACAGAUAAGAAAUUCAUAACCGAGGGCCAAUUGACUGCUAUCCUACAAAAGUUGAGAGCUCUCCAACCCCUAUUAAACCUGCACAAACCGCGAUACCAACAAAAACAUACCUGAAUUAAUUUGAUAAUUUGAAAAUAUGAGAGAUUAAUUUGUUUGUCCCUUACGGUAUCAAAGAACAAAAAGAUGUAUCAAUUAAAUAAAAUCAACAAAAAUGUAUCAAUUACUUCCAAACUUUUUAAUUUUAAGAUCAAUUGAUAUGUGUAAUCGGUUCCAACCAAUGUUAAAAUAAUACAAAAGGUUAUUUUUGGCACACAAUGUCCCACAACUAAACCAUGAAUAUGAGAUAUUUACCAAACCUUGCCUAAUAUGAUUCUCAUACAUUGACUGUGGCCAUCAAACUUCAAUUAGGCUUGUGCAGCCAAUUAUUUUGAAGUUUAGUGAUCACAAUUAUGUAUUAUGUACAUAUUUGAGAGAAAAUGUUUACCAUUCACGGUCUUUGGCCAUCAAACUUCUUUCAACUUUAUUUGGUCAAUGAGUUUGAAGUUAGGUGGCCAAACCCAUGAACGGCAAACAAUUUCAAAAGGAUUAUUGAGAUACAUCAAACAUUCAUGUUAAAGAGUGAACAAUUUAUGUAAUAAAAAAUAUAGUAAUAUAGAUAGAAAGAAAAAAUAAAGUAUCUGAAUAGAGGGUGAAGGAGUUUGUAGGUGAAGAGAGGAAUAGAGUUUUUAAUUUUGUUGUUUAAAGGGAGUUUGAAGGUAAGUUUGUAUUUAUAGAGUAGUUG